UGGAAACAAUCAUCAAAAUACGAUUCGGCCUUAAACAUCAGACUCAACAGAAGAGUUAUUAAUAACAGCAGGUUAAAAUAAAUCUAGAACAUACGUAAAGAGGCAAACAAAUUUUAAAUACAAAUUGUGUUACAAACUGAGAUCGGAACACAGAAUGUUCAGUUUUAAAAACAAAAAUAAAAUAAAAUUUAUGUCAGAUUCUAAAGACACAAUACCGAAAGUAAAUCAUUGUUUAUAUUUCUGUGAAAAGAAACCACUCAAACUAAGAAACAGAAAUAAAUGUAGGAUAAACCGUAACAAAAAAUCGCCGGUAGUAAAAGCUAGACAAUUGUAUAAAGGUACAUCGUUAAAAUUUAAAUCUGUAAGAAUCAGUGAAGCGUAUUUUGUAAAACAUCAGGAAAUAUACCUGUAUAUGAAAAGAAAAAG
rnacentral:lncRNA from 1 species